CCUGAGGGUUUGAUCCUGGCUCAGGGCGAACGCUAGCGGCGCGCCUAACCCAUGCAAGUCGUGCGGGAAAGGGGGGAUUUUUCCUCCCAAGUACCGCGGCAGACGGGUGAGUAACACGUGAGUAACCUGUCCCCGGGU
rnacentral:rRNA from 1 species